rnacentral:lncRNA from 1 species
UUUAAAUCCAGAUUAGAUUUAAGCAGCUGCUACGCAAAGGGCAUGUGAGCAGAGGCUGUGCAGUGGGGAUGAGCAGACAGAAGACAGCAGGGCUGUGCCGUGGGACAGGGCACCCCGGGAGGAGAUGUUCCCUGCCGUGAAGAGAGAGCCCAGGCAGGAGGAUGAAGCACAGGGACACGCUGGCCUGCUCACUGGGUAGGUGCUGGAGAGAGGCCACCCCUCUGCACAGGGCUGCAGACCAUGUUCCACCUCUUCUCCCACUGCUGGUCGUGGCUGCAGGCCAUACAGGAGCCCAUCAGGAAGGUGACCCUCCUUGUCAUGGGGCUGGACAACGCAGGGAAAACCUCCGUCAUCGCGGACAUGGGGACAGGUGAGGAGCAGCACAGCCCAGAGGCAGCCCCAGACGCAGGCAGCAGCUCGGUGGUCCUGUGACACCAAAGGACCGAGGCUUGUGAGCUCCAGCCGCUGUUCCGGGGGAGUCUGCGGGGCACGGCCGUGCCCGGG